GCCUAGCUGGCUCAGUAGGUGGAGCAUGUGACUGUUGAUCUGGGGGUUGUGAGUUCGAGCCCCACGUUGGAUA
rnacentral:tRNA from 1 species